AACGAACGCUGGCGGCAUGCCUAACACAUGCAAGUCGAACGAGACCUUCGGGGCUAGUGGCGCACGGGUGCGUAACGCGUGGGAACCUGCCCUUAGGUUCGGAAUAACUCACCGAAAGGGGUGCUAAUACCGGAUAAUGUCUUCGGAGCAAAGAUUUAUCGCCUUUGGAUGGGCCCGCGUUGGAUUAGCUAGUUGGUAGGGGAAAAGCCUACCAAGGCGACGAUCCAUAGCUGGUCUGAGAGGAUGAUCAGCCACACUGGGACUGAGACACGGCCCAGACUCCUACGGGAGGCAGCAGUGGGGAAUAUUGCGCAAUGGGCGAAAGCCUGAUCCAGCCAUGCCGCGUGAGUGAUGAAGGCCUUAGGGUUGUAAAGCUCUUUUACCCGGGAUGAUAAUGACAGUACCGGGAGAAUAAGCCCCGGCUAACUCCGUG
rnacentral:rRNA from 1 species